rnacentral:tRNA from 1 species
GGGGUUGUGGCUCAGUGGUAGAGCGUUUGCCUAGCAUGCAUGAGGCACUGGGUUUGAUCCUCAGCACCA